rnacentral:lncRNA from 1 species
CUUGGUGCCCUAUGCCAGGUUCUCUGGCUGUGUGCUGUGGGGUCUGAAGGGUCUGAGGCUCCUGGCUCUCCCUUGAGGUCCUAGCAUAGAACAGUGCUGAACUUACAGUCAGUCCUCUGCUGACCCCUUAUCCCUUUUAGGAGUCUGCCCCUUUCUUCAUCCAAGGUUUCUGAGAAUUUUGCCUGGGCCGAGCCCCUGAUCUCAGGUGAAUUCCUAUAAACAAGCUGGUAUGAUGGACACUGACUUGGGGACAGAUGGCACCUGACUCAUCCGGGGAGUAGAGCUGGCAAAGGCAGAUACAGAGGGGAAGGGGAGAUGUUUGGGACAACUGCCUGGGAAAAGCUCAGAAAUGUGGCUGAGCUCAGGGAUUGGGACACACUGCAUUUUCCUCGAGGCAGUAGCCCUGGUUUGAGUCUGCCAGGAUGGAUGUACCAGAAUCUCUGUGUCCAGUCCCAGAGGAAGACGACAUAUCAACCUUCUUAUAAACACCAGCGUCAUGACCAUUUUUGUUCAGAUCCCCCGGUGUAGUUGUCAGGCCCACCGCCCCUCCC